AGAGUUUGAUCCUGGCUCAGAACGAACACUGGCGGCACACAUAACACAUGCAAGUCGAACGAACCAAUUUUCAAAUUUAUUUGAAAACUGGUUAGUGGCAAACGGGUGAGUAAUAUAUGGGGAUCUGCCUAUUAGUAUGGAAUACCACUUAGAAAUAAGUGUUAAUACCGUAUACGCUCCACGGAGGAAAGAUUUAUCGCUAAUAGAUGAGCCCAUAUCAGAUUAGGUAGUUGGUAAGGUAAUGGCUUACCAAGCCUUCGAUCUGUAGCUGGUCUGAGAGGACGGUCAGCCACACUGGGACUGAGAUACGGCCCAGACUCCUACGGGAGGCAGCAGUGGGGAAUUUUAGGCAAUGGGCGAAAGCCUGACCUAGUGAUGUCGCGUGAGUGAAGAAGGCCUUCGGGUUGUAAAGCUCUUUUAGCAGGGAAGAUAAUGACGUUACCUGCAGAAAAAGUCCCGGCUAACUCCGUGCCAGCAGCCGCGGUAAGACGGAGGGGACUAGUGUUGUUCGGAAUUACUGGGCGUAAAGGGCGUGUAGGUGGUAUAAUAAGUUGGAAGUAAAAUCCCAAGGCUUAACUUUGGAAUCGCUUUCAAAACUGUUAAACUAGAGUGCGGUAGGGGAUAACGGAAUUCCUAGUGUAGAGGUGAAAUUCUUAAAUAUUAGGAGGAACACCGAAGGCGAAGGCAGUUAUCUGGGCCGUUACUGACACUGAGACGCGAAAGCGUAGGUAGCAAACAGGAUUAGAUACCCUGGUAGUCUACGCCCUAAACGAUGAGUGCUAGGUAUUGGGUACUUGAUAUUCAGUAUCGCAGUUAACACGUUAAGCACUCCGCCUGGGGAUUACGGCCGCAAGGCUAAAACUCAAAGGAAUUGACGGGGACCCGCACAAGCGGUGGAGCAUGCGGUUUAAUUCGAUGCUACGCGAAAAACCUUACCAACUUUUGACAUGUUAGUUAGAGAGAUUAGAGAUAAUCUUGUCAGUUAGGCUGGACUAUCACAGGUGUUGCAUGGCUGUCGUCAGCUCGUGUCGUGAGAUGUUGGGUUAAGUCCCGCAACGAGCGCAACCCCUAUUCUUAUUUGCCAUCAGGUUAUGCUGGGAACUAUAAGAAAACUGCCGGUGAUAAACUGGAGGAAGGGAGGGAUGAUGUCAAGUCAUCAUGGCCUUUAUAAGUUGGGCUACACGCGUGCUACAAUGGUACUUACAACGGGUUGCGAAAUGGCAACAUGGAGCUAAUCCUUAAAAAGUAUCUCAGUUCGGAUUGCACUCUGCAACUCGAGUGCAUGAAGUUGAAAUCGCUAGUAAUCGCGGAUCAGCACGUCGCGGUGAAUACGUUCUCGGGUCUUGUACACACUGCCCGUCAAGCCAUGGGAAUCUACUUUACUUAAAGUUGGUGGGCUAACUAGGAAACUAGAGGCAGCCAGUUAUGGUGGGGUCGGUGACUAGGGUUAAGUCGUAACAAGGUA
rnacentral:rRNA from 1 species